rnacentral:rRNA from 1 species
GGAUGAACGCUGGCGGCGUGCCUAAUGCAUGCAAGUCGAGCGAACGGCCGAGAAGCUUGCUUCUCUGAUGUUAGCGGCGGACGGGUGAGUAACACGUGGAUAACCUACCUAUAAGACUGGGAUAACUUCGGGAAACCGGAGCUAAUACCGGAUAAUAUUUUGAACCGCAUGGUUCAAAAGUGAAAGACGGUCUUGCUGUCACUUAUAGAUGGAUCCGCGCUGCAUUAGCUAGUUGGUAAGGUAACGGCUUACCAAGGCAACGAUGCAUAGCCGACCUGAGAGGGUGAUCGGCCACACUGGAACUGAGACACGGCCCAGACUCCUACGGGAGGCAGCAGUAGGGAAUCUUCCGCAAUGGGCGAAAGCCUGACGGAGCAACGCCGCGUGAGUGAUGAAGGUCUUCGGAUCGUAAAACUCUGUUAUUAGGGAAGAACAUAUGUGUAAGUAACUGUGCACAUCUUGACGGUACCUAAUCAGAAAGCCACGGCUAACUACGUG